AUGAACAUACGUCAACCGAGACCCGUAAUUCCACAGCCUCGUCAAGGUGGUGAAGGUUUCUCAGCAAUUCUCACAGUCGUAUUAUCCUUCAUCGCCAUCUUUGCCAUGGUAUUAUCAAACUAUAUUCUAAAGCAAAAUGAAUAUUUCAAAUCACAAUCUUUCAUUGAUUUUAUAUUUAUUUAAUAGUUCAUAUCAUCUGUUUUAUUAUGUGUUUCAGGCUUUCAGCUUUAAGCUCGCAUUUUGUUUCGUGAAAGUGAUUCUUAUUUCAAUAUUCAUCUCAGUAGCUGGAAUAAGUGUUUAUAUGAUUUUAUUUGAGUACAUCUCAGCUGACAUGAAUAUAGAUUUUGCAGAUAGUGAUUCCAUCAUCAUCAACUAUCAGGAAUGUUUUUCCAUUCUGCACCAAGUUCCAGAAGGCCAUGUUGGGGUUUACUGGAGAGGAGGUGCCCUUCUAAAGACGAUUACAGAUCCAAUUUUGACUACGGUCCUUUCUUUAUGAUUUUCAUUCAGUAGUUGCUUUCCUAGAACUUAUGAAAUUUCUGCAUGCACUUAAUUUUUAGGUUUUCAUUUGAAGCUGCCUUUUAUAACCCAUGAUGAGUCUGUUCAAGUAACCCUUCAGACAAAUCAGGUGGAAUUCGAUGUUAUGAAGAUUGAGGAAUUUCGUCUUGUCAGUCUAAUGCUCAAAUCUUUCUUGUGAGUAUAAUUGCAGGUUAGGGAUUUUCCUUGUGGUACAAAAGGAGGUGUCAUGAUCAACUUUGAGAAGAUAGAGGUGCAGCCAGAAAUAUUUUCUUUUUGCCACAAUUAACUAAACUAUAUAUAUAUGUGUGUGUGUGUGUGUGUGUGUGUGUGUGUGUGUGUGGCUCUAUUUUGAAGUUUUUUUUAGAGAGUUUCAACCUCUGACGUUUACUCUUAAUGAUAGCUCUUUAUCAUCAAACUAUAACAUUAAUCAGUUUCUGGUGUAAGUAAGGAUUAAAUCUCAAAUCUCUUAUUCAACCAUUAGAGAUUUAUUUCUCAAAAAAAUGUAUUAAAAAAGAAGAUUUUACUAGUUAAGCUAAUUAGAACCCACAUUUUGAAUUAUUUUUUAAAUAUACUAUAUGUACUCUAUCAUUUAUAAGCUACCUGAAUAUUAAAUGACUAGAACCGACAUUUUGAAUUAUUUUUUAGAUGUACUAUAUCAUUGUAUAUUAUGCAUGUACUCUUAUCAUUUAUAAGCUACCUAAAUAUUAAAUGAAACACGGUUUUAUUAACAACUUGCUAACAACCAAAAAUUGUAAUUAAAUCAAUUAUAAAUUAUAGAUAUGUGGUUAAAAUGAUGGAAAAUUACAUGAAAUAAGAAGAAAAAAAAGUAUUACACUUGGAAAUAUAUUAUUAUAUUUUACGUACACACCCAAAAAAAAAUUAGUAAUGCUAUUUAUAACCUAAUAUAAAUAUAUAUAUAUAUAUAUAUAUCUCGUCACUCUUGACAUAUAUUAUAAGAUGAUUAUUUCUUAAUUUAUUUGUUUAUUAUACUUACACAAAAAAAAGAAUUUAGACAUUUAAUAACAAAUUGAAGGGGCCAAGUUUUAUUUUUCCAAUGAGCUACUUGUAAGUAUAGUUGCAUCAUAUGGUAAAAUGGCUAUUUUGCAAAAUGUUUGGGGGGCCUUGGCCACCUCUUGUAGAUGUUGCUGGGUACAGCUACUAGAUGUUGCUGUUUAUUAACAUUAUGGUUUACAAGUGGUCUAAGGUUUGAAAUGCUCAAGUUCUACGCACUGAUUAUAAUGCCUUUUCAGGUUGUUAACCGGCUUCAGAAGGACGAUGUGCAUGACACUCUGCUGAACUAUGAGGUGCAGUAUGACAAUAUUUGGAUAUAUGACAAAAUUCGUCACAAGAUCAAUCAGUUCUGCAGCUCUCAUUCUCUUCAGCAAGUUUACAUUGAUGUUUUCAAUCAGGUAUGUGCUAGGAAUAAUACACAAAGUAAUCAAAAAAGAACAAAGUGGACAUAAAAGACAGACAGAAAAUUAGAUAACUUGGAGGCACAAAAUUAUUAUCUUUAGACAAUAUUUGCCCUCACACUAUUGUUGCUAAAGGGUUAUUACAAAUUUGUCCCCAUGAUACAACCAUGUUUAGUGGGUUCUAUAAAUAGCAAUUUUUGGAGAAUAUCUACAGGAUUUCUUGUGUUUCUUAGAAAUUGAUUUUUGGAAAAGAAAAGAAUUGGUUAUCAAGUGAACAUGAACCACUAUUUAUACCCAUAGGGUUAUAACCCAUCAAAGGACACCAAUAGAGAGUUAAAAUGUUUCAUAAAACCAUUCAUAAGACUUAAAACAUUUUCAAACGUUUAAAACAACUAUCAAAAUUAUUCUAACUUGGUUGAAUGUUCAAAUAGUGUGUAAAACACCUUGAACGUUUAGACUCUCAAAUUACAAAUUACCAAUUCAAGCUUAUUAUCAAACAAUGUAUAUGCGGAAUAUGAAAAUAAGCUACAACAGAAUUGAUAAAACAAUCUAAAUCAUAAUUAAUUACAACCACAACAAUAAUUAAAAGGCAAAGAUUAAGGGAAGAGAGAUGCAAACACAAAGACAACACAUCGAUGUGUUGUCGAAGAAGAAACCGAAGUCCUUAGCAUAAAACCUCUCCGCCGCCCUCCAAGCGGUCAAUAAUCCACUAGAGAAUUAAGUUGGGAUACAUGAAUAGCAAAAGACCCUCUAAGCCUAAUCUACUCAGUGUACUUAAGCCCUCUAAGCUUCUUGCUCUAACAAGGUUGCGUCGAACUUUUGUCUUCUCUAGCUUACCAGAUUCCGCUAUAGCCCAUAGCAUCAACCAAUAUCAAUUGGUCCAUUCCUAACUGUUUCCCAAGCACCAAAUAACAUUCUCACAGAUAUGGGUAUGGUAAAAUAAGGAUUUGGCCAAAUGUACCUCUCAAGGAUGUAACAAUGGAGAGGGUGAGAGUAGAAGAAUUUGGAGAAACAAGGAUGAAGAUUGUGGAUGAGUCAAUCUUGUUUUUCUCUAGGGUUUCUCUUUCAAAAUUCUCUCUGGAAGCUCUCUACAUUUUGUGGGUAUAAGGGGUAUUUAUAUUGGUGUUUGUUUGGAAUGCGAAAAGUCAGUUUUUCCCAAACAGAGUAGUCUGGCAACUUGGCCUCGCGACUUGACUGAGUCGCGAGUCUAAGUCGCAAGUUAAUGGCUUGGCCAGACUGGAAGCUUUGUCCUGUAUUACUCCAGCUGGCGUGACUCUUCAGCUCUUCUGCAUGCUUCACAUGUGUGCCUCCUUUGGCAACUUGCAAGCCACGAGCCAACCGCGAGAUCCAGUCGUGAGGCCUUGCUGAGUUGCACACUUUUAAGCUUUUUUUACACUCUCUCACACACUACCCUUACAUAAUUCCCACCUAAAUACAAGGUUUUUAAAUGCUAAAUUACAAGCAAAUUGACACGGAAUAAAACCAACAAAAUGAUUGAUAUAAUUCAACCUUACAGUUUUGAAAUAAUUGCACUUACUUGGACUGAUUCAAGAAUAUUGAUUAAUAAAUCACGAAGUUUAUUGAUCAAAAUUUGUAACUCAUGCACCUAAUCCAAAACUGAGAUAUAAUCAAUCAUUUUAUAAUUAAAGUACUUUUGAAUAAUAAAUUUAUUCAUACCUACCUUCUUAGUUUUGUACUUUGCCUCCAAAGUAUUCCAAAUCUCAUUCGGUGACUUCAUUGAUGUGUAGAGAUCAUAGAGCUGAUCCAAAAGUGUGUUGAGAAUGUGUCCUCUACAAAUCAGUUCAUCUUCCUCCUGUUUCUUUCUUUAUGCCUUGAUCUCAUCACUAUCUUCAUCACUUGCACUAGGAAAAGGCAUCAAAUUUAGGUCCAAGACAUAGAACUCUCCUAUCAGUUAGAUAGAUGCGAUCGUUAGAGAUUCAAGAUUCUUGGUUGGACUGAUUCAAAAGUUUCAGUACAGUGAGUAGAAAUUUCAUCUUAUCUUUCCACCGAGCGAAAUUGGUUCCAUAAAAGCGAUCCAAUUUCACCAAUUCAUGAUUCAACAUCUUCAAUGUUAUAACAUCACUUGCUCCUUCCAUUGUAACAAAUAUUGUCUAAGAUUGUUAGGAAUAAUACACAAGUAAUUAAGAAAGAACAAAGUGAACACAAGAGAAAUAGAAAAUUAGAUAACUUGGAGGCACAAAAUUGUUAUCCUUAGACAAUAUUUGCCCCACAUUAUUGUUGCUAAAGGAUUAUCACAAAUUUGUCCCCAGGAUACAACCAAGUUUGUUGGGUUUUACAAAUAGCAAUUUUUGGAGAAUACAUUCAAGAUUUCUUGUGUUUCUUAGAUAUUGAUUUUCGAGAGAGAAAAAAUUGGUUAUUAGUGAACAUGAACCACUAUUUAUACCCAUAGAGUUAUAACCCUUCAAAAGGCACCAAUGAAGAGCUAAAAAAUGUUUCAUAAAACUGUCCACAAGGCUUAAUUAAAACCUUUUCAAAUGUUCUGAACAGUUACCAAAAAAUUCUGUAGAAAUUCAGUUUUUACUAGCUUCAAUUGAUCGAAAGAAUUGAACAUUAAUCAAAGGUUCUUUUCGACCAAUUGAAGAAGAAUCGAACAUCAAUCGAGAGAGGCAGAAGCUCCAAAUCAAAUUCCUUGAUCACUUCGAUCGAUCGAGCAAAUCUUCGACCGAUCGAAAAACUUGAAUUUAGAAUUUUCACUUUAUUAGUUUACACAAAUGAAUAAUCUCCAAAUUUAUAUAUUGUCAUUACAACCUAUCCAAGUAUAUAUCUCUAUCUACAACAGUAUGGAUGCUAAAGAAAACAUACCCUUUAAAGCCAUAAACGAACAUAUUUUGGGAGCUUGUAGUUUAGCUUUACACUAUAAGAAGUCUUCCAAGUGCUAUUAAAGUACUGUACUUUUCUUCUUUUGCUUUAGUAGUUUAAUUUGAUAGAUUGUUUAGCAUAUUGAAAUCUUAAACUUAAAGUUGUGCCAUGUACACUUCCAAGGAUUAUUUCUCUACGGGAAUCUAUGUUGGUGUUAAGUUGCCAGCAUUAUUAAAGAGCUGCUUACUAUACUUCAUAUAGUUGUGUAACAUUUUGGUACCGCGCGCAGUGCAGUGGUUAUCAAAUCUUUUUCUAUUUGUUUAUUGGGUAAAUUACAACUUACACAUAUGUGGUUUGAUUGAAAUUGAAGUUGACUAUCUAUGGUUUAAAAUUUAACGUUUUAACCCACUGAGGUUUGACCGAAAUUUAAGUUUGUUACCUAUGGUUUGAAAUUCUAUGAUACAAGUGUUCUGCUAGAUUCUUUUUUAUUUUAUUUGAUGUUGUAUUUUUAUAUUUUUUUGGAGGAGAGAAACAUAAAACUUGAGCAAAAUUACAUACUUAGCAUUGUUUUUAAGAGAGGUGAGUUCAAAGACUCUAACUAAGCUAACCACAUGUGGGUAGAGUGUUAAAUUUUAAACCAUAAGUAAUUUAAAUUUCAACCAAAUCACAGAUGAGUAAAUUGUAAUUUACUAUUAUUUAUUUCAUGUUAUAUUUAUAAAGCGUGUAACUCUCACAGAUUGCCGAAAAGAUGAAAGAUGCUCUCCAAGGUGACUACACACGUUAUGCUCCAGGUAUUGAAAUCAUGAGUGUUCGCGUUACAAAGCCAAUCAUCCCGGAAAGCAUAAGACGCAAUUUUGAACAGAUGGAAGAGGAACGCACUAAGGUUCAGUUUCUUUUUCCUGAAUACAAGAGAAUGUCCUUUUACUUUUUUUAAAAAAAAAUUCCUCUGUUAGUUAAGCAAAGGAAAUAGACACACACGCAAAAUAUGAUUCUAGAUAUGCCGAUUCUUUACAAAUUAAAUGCGUUUUUAAUGUCCUUUAAACAGUUUAAACCAAAAAAAAAAAAAAAAAAAAAAAAAAAAACUAUGCGUUGUUAUAUAUCUAAUAUAUAUUUUUAGUUUUUUUUUUUUAUUAUUAUUAAAAUUUAUGGUUCUUCUAUGAUAUUCAAUUUUUUUGUUUUUUGGAAGAAGCUAUGAUAUUUAAAUUCUCUAUAUAAAAUUAACAUUAGUUAAAUUGGUACUAUUCAUUCAUUAAAUUAUGCAUUUAAUUUAUCAAAUUAACCUUGAUUGAUUUAAUUAAUGAUUAGUAUUAAAUAAAUUUAUUUAAUUAAUAUUUACAUAUAAAAGACCCACAUGAAUUUUUUGCCUUAGGCCCUAAAUUAUGUUGGGCCACCCUGCUGAUGAUUUGUUUGUUAUUGUUGUUGUAUAGGGAGUCAUAUGAAAUAACACAUCUCUUAUUAUUAUAUUUUAUUUUUAUACAAAAUAAAAAUUCUACUCUAACCUAAUUUAAGUGCAUUUGUGUGUGAAGCUCAUUCCUAAAGACUUGAAUCUUGAUCUUUGCCUCUACACCUCAUAAACACUUAUACUUGUAGAGUGACUAUCGUGCCAAGGGUGCGCAGUGAUACACAUCUCCUAUUUUUAAUUUUUCAUUCACUUUGCUUUGUCUGGUUUAACACAUCUUUUUUUUUUUUUUCCUCUUCUUUUUAGAUCUUCUAAACUGUCAAAAUGGUUAUUCUGAACAACGCAUACAAAUAUGAUGUAUUCUUGAGUUUUAGAGGUAAAGAUACCCGUAUGGGAUUCACAAGCACUUUGAAAGGCAUUUUGGAAAUGAGGACGGUUAAGACCUUCAUGGAUGAUGGGAAUCCUAGGGGAGAAGAAAUUUCUGCUGAACUUAUCAAAGCCAUUGGAAGUUCAAUGAUUUCGAUAAUUGUAUUUUCUGAAAAUUAUGCAUCUUCUACCUGGUGUUUAGAUGAACUUGUCAAGAUUAUUAAGUGUAAGAAGAAUGGCCAAAUAGUUAAGGUGAUACCAAUUUUUUAUAAGGUAGAUCCAACGGAAGUCCGCCAUCAAAAAGGAAAGUUUGGAGAACAUUUAGAAGAACAUGAAAAAAAAUUUGAAGAUAAUAUGAAGAAGGUGCAAAAAUGGAGGAAGGCUCUAACUAAGGCAAGCAACUUUACAGGUCAUCACUACAAGGGCGAGUAUGUAUUAAUGACUACUCUUUUGACUUUCAUGAUUUUUAAUUGUUUGGUAUCACCACCAAAGUUAGUAUUAAGAAUAAUGAGAAAAAUUAGAAAAUAUUCUUAGAAACUUUUUAUGGAAAAGAAAAAAUAAAUAAUUUUUUUUUACAAUUUUUUAUAUUUCCCAUAAAAGUAGAAUAAAAACUUUCCUUAAAAUUAGUGAUGGUUGCAAGAAUUUUUUUAGGGUUGUCAUUAAAAAACUUAAAUUAUACAAAAUCUAACAAAAAGAGAACUACAUAUAUUUUCCAAAAAAAAAAAAAAAAUGCAAAUACAUAAAAUCUUACAAUUUCCUUCUACGAAUUUUCUUAUUUUGAAGUCGUUGCAUAAUAAUUUCAUUAUCAAUAUUUCAAGUUACAUCUCUUUCAAAAUUUUAGUUAAAUAAAAUUUUUCUUGCCAUUUUCUUUUUGUUUGUAAAGACCUAAUAUAUUGUUAAGAUGACUAAAUUUAUUGAAAAAAAUUGGUUACAAAUUUAGUUGUAGUCUAAGGUUGCAAUUGUCACUAAAAUAAUUAACAUGGUUACAUAUUUUAAAAAUCUAACCAUUGAAUUUUAUAUUCUUUAUAUUCUUAAAAAAAUAUAUAUCAAAUUUCAUACUAAUUGGAUAUUAUUUACUAUUCGAUCCGUAAAUUUAUUUGUUAUGUAUAAUUUUAGGCUACAAAAACUCAAAAUUUAAACAUUUGAUUAUGACAUCGUUAUUGAUCUCUGAUUUUCUUGAAAUUUUGCAAAUUGGGAGGAUAUUAAAAAAAAAUGUAAUUCAAAGGUGGAUUUGUCAAAAAUUACAUCCAGUAAAAAAUAUAUUGAGUGGGGUUGUAGUCUUAGUCUACAACCAAGUUUGUUGCAAAAUUUUGUUCAAACUUUAAUUAUGUUGGCCCUAAAUGAAUUUAGGGUUGUUACAAAUUUUUUUAAAGGAUAAAAAAAUCAUAAUUAAAAAAAAAAUUAUAUAUAAAAAUUAUUAUUUUCCAGGUCAGGGUGGUCCUGUGACCACCUUGGACCCAAUGUGGAGCCACUCUUACCUAAAAUGGUCUAUUAACAAAUAUCCAAAGGGCAUCUGCUAACAAGACCCAAAAACAAUUAGCAUUAAUUGUUUAUUCAUAGUUCUUUAUAUAUAUAUUUGUUUAUUUUUAUUUUUUUUAUUGCCAAAUUAUGAAAGUAUUCUAUUUUGAUCAUAUACCGGUAAUGCUACAAAGGUCAAUGAUACAAAGUUAGAAACGGAAGAAUAUAUAAUAAAGAUAUUUCUAUUUUGAUCACAUACCUGUGAAGAAUUUAGUUCUUGUUCACGUAUAAUGUAUUUCUUUUUUCUUCUCUGACUCGUUACGUAUAUUUAAUGCUAUGUGAUUGGCAGCUGCGGCCCCUCUGAAUUCAAAAUUAUCCAAGAUAUCUCCGAAGAUAUCUUAAGUGUUAAAUUAGAUUGCACGAAAAUUUCUGCUACAAAAUAUCUAGUUGGAAUAGAUUCUCGCGUAAGUGACAUCAUAUAUCGAUGUUUAGAUCUUCAGUCAGAUUUUUUCUGUAUCAUAGGGAUCUAUGGCCUUCCUGGAGUGGGUAAGACAACAAUUGCGAAAGCUAUAUUUGACACAAUUCGUCAUCAUUUUGAUGGAAGCAGCUGUAUAGAGAAUGUCAGAGAAAAAUCAAAAAGAAAUGAUGUUGUAAUCCAACUGCAAGAGACACUUUGUAAUGAGAUCUUAGGGUAUCAAAAUUUGAUGGUUGGGAGUACAUCUAGGGAAAACAAUAUGACAAUUGAGAGGCUAUAUCAUAAAAGGAUUCUUGUAGUUCUUGAUGAUGUGGAAAAACUAGAAAAGAUAGAAUUUUUCUUUGAAAAUUAUGAUCGGUUUGCUCCUGGAAGUAGAAUUAUUAUAACAACAAGAGACAAACACUUGCUAGAUACUCUUCAAAAAUAUUGUUGUGUAAGGUACUACAAGGUUGAGGAAUUAAAUGUACACGAAUCUCGUGAACUCUUUUGUCAACAUGCCUUUGGAAGAAAUAGAUUUGAUGAAGAUUCUUUGGAACUUGUCAACCAAUUUAUACAUUAUGCCAAAGGUCUUCCAUUAGCUCUAAAAAUCAUUGGAGUAGAUUUGUAUGGAAAAACUAAUGAUGAAUGGAAAAGUGCAUUAGAAAAAUAUAAAAGAUUUCCUAAUAGAGAUAUACAAGAAAUACUCAAAAUAAGCUAUGAUGGAUUGGAACAACCUCAACAAGAUAUUUUUCUUGAUAUUGCAUGUUUCCUUAUAGGGGAGGGGAAGGAUUUUGUUGUAGAUAUACUAACCAAUAUCUAUUGCUAUGAACCACAUUAUGAUAUUAAAAGACUUAUUGAUAAGUGUCUCGUAGUCGUUGGUAGAGAUGGCAAACUGUGGAUGCAUGGCUUGAUUCAGCAAAUGGGACAAAAAUUAGAACGAAGCAGGCUAUUGUGUUACAAGGAUGAUCCUCAUGCACUUAUUGUAAAUAAGGUAAGUUCUUUUGGUUUAAUUUUACCCUUUUUUCACCUAGCUGACAUAGUGAAUUUUCUUUCUUUUUCUUUUAUUUUGUAUUUUUAAUGUUUAAGAAAAUAUCACUAUAUUAGUGUGGCUUCUAUUUAAAACUAGUUAGGGCGGCACGUGCAAGGUACGUGCUAGCCAUAAAAAAAAAAAGUAGUGAUUAGGAUCAAUUCUAAAUUUUAUUUGUAUCAUAAAAUAAAGAUAUAAAUCAUUUGAUUUUUAACAUACAUAAAGAUUUAUAUUAAUCAAAAGAGACAUUAAUUUUAAGAAUUUUGAUAAUUAUGUCAUCAAAAGUUAAUCUCAUUUGUAUAGGACCGUGAUGGAUCUCAGUCCAAUAUUUUAUUAUUUUAUUUUAACCUAUAACUUACAUCUCAAUAGUUGUGAAUAUAUUGUAAUAACAACAAUAUGUCACAACAUUUUUAGUUGUGCUAGAUCUUAGUAUGAUAUUUUAUUAUUUUAUUUUAUUGUAUUUUGACUCAUAAGGAAUUGAUACAUGCAUCACAACAUUUUUACAAUAUCUCUAUGUAUACAUUGUACUUAAUUACAAUGUAAAUUUAUAUUGUAGAUACAAAAAAAUUAGCAAAUUUUAUACACAUUUACAAAAUUUGUACAAUAUUUACCAUUUUUUGUGCUAAUGUGUAUAAUAUUAACCACUUUUGUGUAUUUACAAUGUAAACUUGCAUUGUAAGUACAAAGUAAACAUAUAAAGAUCUUAAAAAAAAAAUAAAAACAAAGCUCAAACCAACUCGCAUAUUUGAAAGAAAAAAGAAAAAGAAAAAUAAAAAAGGCACCUCGCUAAUUGAAUAAACUAAAAAAGUGCUAUUUAUGAGCCAUUGACUUUUUUUAUAUAGUUAAAUAAAAAUAUAUAUGUCAGCUUACAUAAAUAUUUAAAAAAAAAAAAAAAAAACACAAACCGAUAACUCGAUUUAAAAACCUAUUAUAUUUUUGGCUGUUUCUUUUGCAUAAUGUUUUUUACUGAAUGAUUUGUCCAAUUAGGGAUUGAAUGCAAUUCGAGGUAUAGCGGUGGACCUGCCAGAGGAAGAAAACAUGCAAUUAGAUUUUGAAAAGAUGAAAAAUCUCAUAUAUCUGAAAAUUCAUAGUGGAAUUCGUGAAGACCUUGAAUUUCUUUCCCAUGAGUUAAGGUUGUUUGAGUGGUAUGGAUUUUCUUUGACUUCCUUUCCAUCCAAUUUUUUCCUUCAAAAACUUGUUGCACUCAGAAUGCAAGGAAGUCACAUUCAAUUGGAUGAGCAUUUCGAGGUACGAUCAUUUGCAUAUAUAAAUUAUUAUUGUUUUGUUAAGCUGUAUUUUACUGUUUGUUGAAGCUUAAUAGAUUUCAAUUUUUUUCUUCUUCUUCUUCUUCUACAGAGGUACCGAUUCAAAAGUUUGAAAUAUAUGAGUUUCCGAGACUGUAAAAACAUUACGACAUUACCUGACUUAUCAGUGAUCGCCCCAAACGUAAAGGAAUUGGAUAUGUAGGGAUGUGAAAAUUUAGUUGAGGUUCAUCAGUCUGUUGGACUUCUUGAAAAGCUUGAAUUAUGGAACCUCCGCAGUUGCAAAAAUCUUAAAAUUACUACAAGAAGCUUUCCGGUGAAAUCUCUUAAACAGCUUCUUCUCUAUGGCUGUGAAAGUGUUAAUAAUAACGAACUCCCUGAUAAACGACACCGUUCUGACCGCGAUAAUGGCCGUUACACGCCAGAUUCCGACAACUCCUUCGACUACAACAAACGCCACCACCGUCGGAGCCCUAAUUUCGACGCCCACGACCGCCGCCACCACAACCACAAUCAACAACGCAGCAGCUCCGGCCCAUACCCUAGGUCCAGCAAAGCCCAGCACUCUUUGCCCAAGCGAUUUGGACGCGAUUCCCGUAGCGGAAACCGGUCCAAGUCCGAGUCCGAUGAGGAGUUGAAGGGGCUGAACCCUGAGGAGUACCGGAGGCUCAAGAGGCAGAAGAUGAGAAGAGCGCUCACUCGUUGUAUUUGGAAUUGCAAGCCGAGUCCGCCUAGGAACGAUAACGAGAGCGAGAGGGAGAACGAGAAAGCCGACGAGAUCUCUGACAAGUACGGUGGAGAAGACGGGUUCAUCGGCGGCGUAAAGAGCGAUUCAAGCUCGAAAGAGAAGGCUAAGGUGAGUAGUCGGAAAGGAAAAUCGGAAAGUCAGUCUAAUUCCGAGUCUGAAUCGGAAUCGGAAACCGAUGAUUCGCGGUCAAAGAGGAAGAGGAAGAUGAAGAGUUCGAUUUCCAAGAGUAGAAAAUACAAAUCUGAUGAGAGCGACAGCGAGAGUGAAUCGGAUGAAGAAGAGGAAGAAGAGAGAAAACAAAGAAAGAAAUCGAAGGCAAGUAGUAGGAAUCGGAGUCGCCAAAAGAGUAGCAAAAGAAGCAGUAGAAGAAAAGGGAGUAGUAGUAGGAGAAAGAGUAGUUACAGCAAUUCCGAUGCUAGCCAUCGAGUAAGGUCGAAGAAGAAGCGGAGUCGGAGUAGGAUUUCUCGGAGACAGAGAAGGACAUUGACGUUUCAAAUUCGGAGGGUUCUGAAGUUGAAAAGAGUGUGGUAACUGCAGCAGCAAUGUCUAUAGAUGAUGAGGAGAUCUCACUGGCCUUUUAUAAUUAAGCAUAAGUUCUGAAAACCACGCAGAUCUUCCAAGUAGCUUUUCUAAGUUACAAAAUCUUUUGCAUCUUUAUAUGUUUAAUUGCGAAAAUUUUCCAAAGGCUUUGGACACUCCUGGUUGCCUCCCCGAAUUAGAAAAAUUAUAUUUCAGUAACAGCAAUACAACUACCCUCCCUGAAAUUGUAAGCAGAUUUCCUUAAUUUGGGACCUCAACAUUCAAGGCUGCUGGAAGCUUCAAGAAAUUCCAAGGCUUCCACCAAGUAUCAAAUAUGUAGACGCAAGAAACUGCUAUUCUUUGGAUUCACAAUCAAGAAGAAGAUUAUUAAGUCAGGUCUCUCUCUUAAAGUUAUAUUAAAAGAAACAAUUUUGGUUAACUUUCCCAAAUAUUUAACUAGUUUUGCUAAUCUGCAAUUUCUUUUUCCUCUAAUUGCAAGCAGUUUGGAGACAUGGUAGGGCUUCCCCAAAAUAUAGCAUGUGUAAUGGGACCAUCAAAUCAGGACUCUUUAUCUGAAAUGGAAUAUGAUACAUCUUAAAAUAGGUUCUACAUCUGAAUUUGAAAUGGAUUUUGCAUCUGAAUUUGAAAUGGACCUUGCAUCUAAAUUUCCAAAAGAUGCUAGAUAUUCAUAUGAACUUGUACUUCCAGGAACUACAAUUCCAAAGUGGUUCAACCAUCAAAGUGUUGGAAGUUCCAUAUCAUUCUCUAUUUAUAAUGAAUUCAAUUCUUCAGUAUUUGCUCUCUGUGUUACUUUGAAAGUGGAACUCAAGGUUAAUGAGCCAAAAAGAUUGAGAAUUUUACUUGUUCUAUAUACGCUUUCGUCGAUGGUUGUAAAACAUGGCUCACGUGUCGGCAAUUUCUUUUAGAUCCAUCAUCAUCAUUGGUCAUUCUUUCUAGGAAAUAUUAAAUUGUUACGUAAUGAUAAUAAGCUUCAAUGUAAAAUUUCAAAUUAUGAUCCUAAACUAUUAGAAGUUACAAUUGAAAGGUGUGGAGUCCAUGUACCAUGUAUGUGUUCUCAUAAUUCCAUGGCCUGCAGAAGCAUUGGGGAAAGACUAGUAGAAGUGUCUUUUGGUGAACGAUUAAAAAAGUUUUUAUGUAGAGUGGCUGCAGGGGUCCUCCCCUUUAAUAAGCAGAAGCUGGUCAAAAGCUCCAAAACCCGAGAUGCUUAUUGCCCUCUUUGUGAAAUAGCACAAGAUUCUGUUUUACAUCUAUUUCAAAGCUGUCCCUUUGCCAAAGGACUGUGGUAUGGUGGUCAAUGGGGUUUUAGAGUUGAAAUGAUCCAAGCUCAAUCUGUUAUGGAAUUCAUUGAACGUAUAAUUGAUCCCCCAAGUGAGUUACUAGUAAAAGGAGUCACCACAGAUGAAUUCAUUGCGUAUGUAGUAGUGGUGAUGAAAGUCUUCUGGGAGGCACGAGAGGAAGCUAUGGUUUCAAACACUAAAACUAGCAUAAACCAGCUAGCCUAUUGUCUUAACAAAGAGUGUAACUCUUAUGUGAGAUCAACGAGGAAAUACCGUAAUCUGCCACUUGGUGCGGAUGAUUCGGCCUUCGGCCAGUUCAUUAUUUGGUUUUCAAAGUAUGUACGAGCAUGA
rnacentral:sRNA from 1 species